GCCAGUGUGGUGUAGUGGUUUGAAUGUUGGACUAUGAUUCUGGAGACCAGGGUUCAAUUCUCAGCUCAGGCA
rnacentral:tRNA from 1 species